rnacentral:rRNA from 1 species
CUACGGGUGGCUCCAGUGAGGAAUAUUGGACAAUGGUCGAAAGACUGAUCCAGCCAUGCCGCGUGCAGGAUGACUGCCCUAUGGGUUGUAAACUGCUUUUAUACGGGAAGAAAAACACCUACGUGUAGGUGACUGACGGUACCGUAAGAAUAAGGACCGGCUAACUCCGUGCCAGCAGCCGCGGUAAUACGGAGGGUCCAAGCGUUAUCCGGAAUCAUUGGGUUUAAAGGGUCCGUAGGCGGGCUAUUAAGUCAGAGGUGAAAGUUUGCAGAUCAACUGUAAAAUUGCCUUUGAUACUUAUAGUCUUGAAUUGUAGUGAAGUGGUUAGAAUAUGUGGUGUAGCGGUGAAAUGCAUAGAUAUCACAUAGAAUACCGAUUGCGAAGGCAGAUCACUAACUAUAUAUUGACGCUGAGGGACGAAAGCGUGGGGAGCGAACGGGAUUAGAUACCCCCGUAGUC